UAAUCUGAAACGAAAUAAAAGCAAGCAAUUAACAUUUUGGGAACUGUCAGUCCACUAUCAAGUGUAUUCUUACUUGUCAGUGUGUGUCACUAGUAUUUACAGUAAUACUUUUUAUGGUUAUGUACAGAUGGCAACUACUACCAACAGCCCACGGUAUUUAUUUCCAACCAUAAGUACCGGAUUUGUCUGAUCAAAGUUUGCUGCCAUCAGCAAGAGGCUGAGAGGGGAAGUGGCCUGCCUAAGGCCAUCUAGUGAGCUCACAAGAGGAGCAAGAUUCAAACAGAAGCAUCCUAGGGCCUGGGGUGCAAGCAAGUAGCACAAAGAAAGUGGCACAGAGAAAGAACACGUGAUAGCAAAGAUGGGAAAUACAUUAUGAGUUUGGCACAGCAUUGACUGCACCGUAUCCUGCCAAAUGCACAGAUGAGAAAAUGCAAUGAAGUCAAGCAGCAAUACACAGGAAGUCGAUGGUCCAAUCAAGCCAUACACCUUCAGACAGCUCAACAUGCAUCUUUGAAUUGACCGAAGUAUGGAGAACGUUGGUGUGCUUUAAAAUUGCUUAUAACUUGAGAACCAAUCUAGUUAAAAACUCACCCUUGUGUAGAAGUCAGAAUAUGGCU